UAUGACAGCACAAAGCAAAGCCGGGAGACUCUUUUUGCCCUCAGCCCCCACCAUGCUUCUUAUUCCUGCUGAUCUGCUUGUCUCAUUUAAGCAGACUGUUUGAAAAGAAAGAGGAGGAAGGAGAAGGAACAGAAGGAAGAAAAGGAGAGAAGGAAGGAGACGGGUUCCUUAGUCACCGUUGCCAUUUCCCCCUUCUUGCUGCAAAGACCUUCUGAAGUCCUGGAGCUCCCCGGUUGCAGUAGAAGGCAUUAUGUCAGCUCUCAAAGAAAAUUCCCAUUUGAUGUGCAAUAUGAAGCAUGAUUUAAAUGCAGAGGACAUCAAAGCCCUCAAAGGAGAGCAGGGCCGCACCAAAGUAGCUUGGUCCCCUGAAUGGACUUCACAUUGUAACCGCAGGACCAGCCCAAACUGGUCCUGCCUUGUCAAUAGUAAGUACUGAGUUGUUUUUCAGAGACAACAGAGCCAAACCGGAAGUCAUGCAGCUGAAGCACAUGCAGAGAAUUCUGACCUCAAAUAACACUCAGAACCAAAGGACAGGAAAGUAAGCAGAACAUGAAGACAGGAACACUUUCAGAAGGGAAGGUUCUGUGGUCCAGGAAGAUCCACGGCUGAACUGCUUUACCGCAUUUUACCACAAGAGGCCAAGUUCCAAAGCGAGCUGCCAGAAACUGGCCCCCCAGCAUUUCCACAUACCAUGCUGUCCCCAACCUCCAAAUGCGGGAGACACAUCUGAGCCCUGCCUUCUGUCUCCCUGCCAGUUGGCCUCACAAUAAAGCUUGCUUUGCUCAAAA